AGUAAGGUCAGCUAAACAAGCUAUCGGGCCCAUACCCCGAAAAUGUAGGUUAAUCUCCUUCCCUUGCUA
rnacentral:tRNA from 1 species